UCUUCCUCGUCAUCCACGAAGGUGAAACUUUAACUGAAGUUAAGGACGCGUACAAAGGAAAUUGCACAUCCCCGAUGAGGAAUUUUUGAAGUGGAAGUUUGCAUUAUUGUCACGUGGCUGUCCAAAGUGCUUGCAGGAUCCAGACAUCGUAUGGAGUCGAUUGCAGAGACGGGAUGCCUAUGGUGCUUGGCAGCAGUAUCUUGGGUUGGAGCACUCAGAUAAUGCUCCUAAG